ACUUAGGUGGCAGAUUAGAGUGCGAUGGGCCUAAGACUCGUUUAUGAGAUUCCCUCUCCCUAGGUU
rnacentral:tRNA from 1 species